AGAGUUUGAUCAUGGCUCAGAAUCAACGCUGGCGGCGUGCCUCAGACAUGCAAGUCGAACGCGAAAGCGCCCUUCGGGGUGCAAGUAGAGUGGCGCACGGGUGAGUAACACGUAGGUAAUCUACCUUCGGAUGGGGAAUAACACCGAGAAAUCGGUGCUAAUACCGCAUAAUGCAGCGGCACCUAAUGGUGACAGUUGUUAAAGCGGGGGAUCGCAAGACCUCGCGUCUGAAGAGGAGCCUGCGGCGGAUUAGCUAGUUGGUAAGGUAACGGCUUACCAAGGCGAUGAUCCGUAGCCGGCCUGAGAGGGCGGUCGGCCACACUGACACUGACAUACGGGUCAGACUCCUACGGGAGGCAGCAGUCGGGAAUUUUGGGCAAUGGGCGAAAGCCUGACCCAGCAACGCCGCGUGAAGGAUGAAAUCCCUCGGGAUGUAAACUUCGCAAGAACGGGAAGAAUAAGUCGGUGCUAACACCACCGGCGAUGACGGUACUGUUUGUAAGCUCCGGCUAACUCCGUGCCAGCAGCCGCGGUAAUACGGGGGGAGCAAGCGUUGUUCGGAUUUACUGGGCGUAAAGGGCGCGUAGGCGGCCACCGCAAGUCAGUUGUGAAAGCUCUGGGCUUAACCCAGAAAGGUCAACUGAUACUGCGGGGCUAGAGUGCAGAAGGGGCAACUGGAAUUCUCGGUGUAGCGGUGAAAUGCGUAGAUAUCGAGAGGAACACCUGCGGCGAAAGCGGGUUGCUGGGCUGACACUGACGCUGAUGUGCGAAAGCUAGGGGAGCGAACGGGAUUAGAUACCCCGGUAGUCCUAGCCUUAAACGAUGGAUGCUUGGUGUCUGGGGUUUCAUAGUCCCGGGUGCCGUCGCUAACGCUUUAAGCAUCCCGCCUGGGGAGUACGGUCGCAAGACUGAAACUCAAAGGAAUUGACGGGACCGGCACAAGCGGUGGAGCAUGUGUGUUUAU
rnacentral:rRNA from 1 species